UUGAAGCACCUAUGAUCUUAUCCUCUAUGGGCCCCUAAGAACAUUUUCGUACCGUCAAAUUCCUGUUUUGGUAUGAUGUUUCUCCGGAAUUGAAGGCCAUUUCUGCUCUGUCGUCUUCUAAAUGACAUUGUGAAUGAUUUCCCGAUAGGCAUUGAUUUACCAGGACUAGGUAUUCAUUGCUUCCAUAGCUUUAAUCCAUUCUGUACUACUAAGAUUAGAAGUUUUUUCAAUUGUGAUGUGAUUGAUGUGAUUGAUUUUGGGUAUGUGAUGAUUAUAUGUGAGUGCCCACUUUGAAUCCGACCAAAACCCUUAUCAUGGAAGUCGAUUACAGAGGUGGGUUUCUUUCAUAAUUCUGAGCAUUUUCUUUUGGUUAUUUUAACCUGCUGUGUGGGCUUUGGUGGUGGACUGACACGGAAAGUUUAGGCAGCUCAAGCAUUGAGGAUUUGGGUAUCUUUAUGUGCGAUUUCAAAUGACUUAAAGGCAAGUUUCGAAUUAUUUUGUUUAUUUUAAUGGAAAAUGGAGGCAUUGGGUAUUUUUAUGUGCGAUUUCAAAUGACUUAAGGCAAGUUUUGAAUUCUUUUGUUAAUUCAGAUGAAAAAUGGAGGCAUUGGGUAUUGAUGGUUGUCCUCUCUGGUCAAUCCACCUUGUGUAUAAUCUGUGUUUCUUGAAUUUUGUUGGGGUUGGAAGCAACCUGAUUUGAAUAUAUGUAAAGAUGCCUCUUUGUUGUUCACAUUCUGUUCCAAAUCAUUCGUUGGAAGGUUUUCUGCCGAGAAAAUGGCGUUUCUAGGGCUAUUGUGAAUGAUAGCAACAGCAGUGAACACUGAGAAUUCCAGAAUCUUUCAGCGAAGAUUUUUUUGGCAAUGAAUUUGGGUCUAGGGUUUACAUUGUGCCACAUAAUUUGCUUAGAUAAAAGUCUUUUCAAUAAAGUAGGGUUUCAUUUUAAGCAGCUUUCUCAUUUUCUGAAGGUUGGUAUGAACACCUGGUGAUGUGAUUGUUCAUUAAUAGACCUCUCAGGCAGAUGAAAAAAGGUUGAAAUAGUCAGAAUUAUCAUUUCUGUGGAUUUGAAAUGUGGCAAUGACAUUGAUUGACAUAUACAAAUGGUUAUUUUCUUCAA